rnacentral:rRNA from 1 species
ACGAACGCUGGCGGCGUGCCUAACACAUGCCAGUCGAGCGGAAAGGCCCUUCGGGGUACUCGAGCGGCGAACGGGUGAGUAACACGUGAGUAACCUGCCCCAGACUUUGGGAUAACCCUCGGAAACGGGGGCUAAUACCGGAUACGACACAGCUUCGCAUGGGGUCUGUGUGGAAAGUUUUUCGGUUUGGGAUGGGCUCGCGGCCUAUCAGCUUGUUGGUGGGGUGAUGGCCUACCAAGGCGACGACGGGUAGCCGGCCUGAGAGGGCGACCGGCCACACUGGGACUGAGACACGGCCCAGACUCCUACGGGAGGCAGCAGUGGGGAAUAUUGCACAAUGGGCGGAAGCCUGAUGCAGCGACGCCGCGUGAGGGAUGACGGCCUUCGGGUUGUAAACCUCUUUCAGCAGGGACGAAGCGUAAGUGACGGUACCUGCAGAAGAAGCGCCGGCCAACUACGUG